AUUGUUUGUUUUGCUUAACUUUUGUUUUGUUGUUUUUUGUUUCUGGUUCUUGUUGUUGUUUCAGUCUUUUUCUCAUUGGGUUUGAUCAACUCUAUCCAACUAGAUCAAAUCCAAAGGAAGUUCCAAAUUAUGGAACAAGGCCUCUGAAGUGGCUAAAUUCCCAGACAAACAAUGAUGACGACAACAACAACAACAACAACAACAACAACAAAAACGGUGGUGCGGUAGCAGAGAAAUAUACUAGCAAAAGGAAAAAAAAUAGGAAAGGCUUUGAUUUUGACUACUAAUAGGCUUUAUUUACAUAGCAAGAUGGCCUUUUUGCUAAUCAGGCCAAACUGAAAGAGCAAUGGCUAUUACUUCUGAAAUAGCAGCAAUUUGUCCUAGCUGAAAUAUGGUAAUGAUAUUUAAAAAUAUAUUUUUUAAAGGGGCUCAAUGGCUAAAAGUCAGCUUAAUUAAAAGCUAACAUCCAAGAUGUGUGUGUGUGCAUAUGUGUGUGUUUGUAUUUAAAAGAUCCUCAUGCUUUUGUUUUUGCUUUUCUCCUAGGACCUUGUCUCUUUUUUUUGAGCAAAAUAUUUUUUCUUCUCAGUUUUCUUCUCAGAAUUCUGUUUCCUUCACUUAUUUGUUUCUGCUCUCUCUCCUUUCUCUUGCACCCUCUGCUGCAUGGGGAACCUAAAAUAGUUCGUAAUAGCCUGGGGUUCCUUAAAGAAAACAGAGAAGGCACCAGACUCCCUUCGGAGGAGAAACCUGUUUUUCCUUAUGGAAUCCCAAGAAUGCAAACAGACAAGGUCCUCUCAGCUCUUAAACUGCUUACUUUUUUUCACUCACGUCCGUGUGAAGAGACCACCAAACAGGAUUUGUGUGAGCACCAAGGCUAUUUAUUUCACCUGGGUGCAGGUGGGCUGAGUCUGAAAAAAGUCAGCAAAGGGAGAUAGGGUGGGGCCGUUUUAUAAGAUUUGGUCACUGAAAACUAAGCUGUGCUAUCAUAAAGCCCUGUGAACUGAAGCUAGACAACUCAAACUUCAGAAGAAAAUAACAGCAACCUAUUUACAUACAUAAGCCACUUUCCUACCUGCCUCCAAUGAUAUGAAGCAAGCCCUGUGAACUGAAGCUAGACAAUUCAAACUUCAGAAGAAAAUAACAGCAACCUAUUUACAUACAUAAGCCACUUUCCUACCUGCCUCCAAUGAUAUGAAGCAAGCCCUGUGAACUGAAGCUAGACAACUCAAACUUCAGAAGAAAAUAACAGCAACCUAUUUACGUACAUAAGCCACUUUCCUACCUGCCUCCAAUGUAAGGAUUUCAGAGUAAUGUGGCCUAUAUCAAUUUUCCAGGAUUGCUGUUUUGUUUAUUGUUGUUUUUCUCCCUUCCUCCCCCUAUUUUAUCUUUAAAGGAUAUGAAGCUUCACAACCUUCUAAAUGAGCUUUCCUAAUAACUCGGGACCUAUCUGCCUAGGAAUAACCCAUCGUACCCAUGAGAAAUUAGAGGAAAUCUGAGAUCAGAGACUCAUUUUCUUUUAACAUGUUUUCUCCAAAGAUUUUUAAAAAGGGGAGAAAUGUGAAAGAAAAAUAUCCUGCCGCCCCC